rnacentral:rRNA from 1 species
AACGAACGCUGGCGGCAUGCCUAACACAUGCAAGUCGAACGAGACCUUCGGGUCUAGUGGCGCACGGGUGCGUAACGCGUGGGAACCUGCCCUUAGGUUCGGAAUAACUCCCCGACAGGGGUGCUAAUACCGGAUAAUGUCUUCGGACCAAAGAUUUAUCGCCUUUGGAUGGGCCCGCGUUGGAUUAGCUAGUUGGUAGGGUAAAAGCCUACCAAGGCGACGAUCCAUAGCUGGUCUGAGAGGAUGAUCAGCCACACUGGGACUGAGACACGGCCCAGACUCCUACGGGAGGCAGCAGUGGGGAAUAUUGGAAAAUGGGGGAAAGCCUGAUCCAGCAAUGCCGCGUGAGUGAUGAAGGCCUUAGGGUUGUAAAGCUCUUUUACCCGGGAUGAUAAUGACAGUACCGGGAGAAUAAGCUCCGGCUAACUCCGUG